ensembl:lncRNA
CACAUAUAUUUAUUUAUAUUUCAACAAAAGAUACAAAAAUAAUAGUAGAACCAUCAUUUAAUAAUGCUGUAAGAAUAGAUUUCGAACAUGCAGUGAAUAUAAAAAACGAAUGUGAAAAGGGAAAAUCGUUUCAAUUUGUUAGUUUUAUUGAUGAAAACCUUUUGGUAAUCAAAUGGAGUGUCUAUUCAAAGGGCAAAAUAAAAGGUAGCUAUCGUUCAAAAAANNNNNNNNNNNNNNNNNNNNNNNNNNNNNNNNNNNNNNNNNNNNNNNNNNNNNNNNNNNNNNNNNNNNNNNNNNNNNNNNNNNNNNNNNNNNNNNNNNNNAAAAAAAAAAAAAAAAAAAAAAAAAAAAAAAAAAAAAAAAAAAAACGUAUAUAGUUUUGCUCAUUUGUACGCAUACCUAGGUACAUAGGUGUAAGUUUACACAUGUCCAUGCGUAUGUACAUAUUGUUUGAUACUAUUUUUUUUUUUUUUUUAAGUGUUCCUGACUUGUGCGUGUUUUAUUUAUUUAUGUUUUUCACAUGAUUACCUAUUCACGCUCCUGCGUUAAUGGUACACUUGCAGGCGUAAAUCCUGACGUAAGAAAGAUGAAGCUCCCCGAUUUAUACGAAACAAUAAGAUCUGUCCACGUGUUUAGUGCGAAUCACAAGCAAAACGUCAUUGAGUCUGAAACUUAUGUCAUCAAUGAAGAAAUGCCGGGUAAUUAAAAAAAAAAAAAAAAAAAAAAAAAAAAAAAAAAAAAAAAAACACAAACGGGUGCAUACAUACCUAAAUAAAUAUCUAAAUACAUACCUAAAUACAUAUCUAAAUACAUAUCUAAAUACAUAUCUAAAUACAUAUCUAAAUACAUAUCUAAAUACAUAUCUAAAUACAUAUCUAAAUAGAUAUCUAAAUACAUACAUACCUACAUACAUACCUACAUACAUACCUACAUACAUACCUACAUACAUACCAACAUACAUACCAACAUACAUACAGAAAUGUGCGAAGACAUAUCGACCGAUUGCUUCCUUAAUGGAAAUAUAAACAUAAAUAACUGCUUUAAGUGCCAGCUGUUAGUACAAAAUCAUAGCAAAGACUCUGAAUGCUUUGAUUACACAUCAAAAGAUAUGAAAAAUAAAUUAGAUUACAUUAAACAUGUGGUGGGAGAAAGUGAAGAUGAUAGUCCUGAAUUCCAGUUGAUGAAUUCAAUUGACUUUUUAUUAAAGAGUCUUUUUAAAGUUGGUAAAGAAACAAAUAAAAAAGUAUUAAUAGAUGAAAGCGAAUAUAGUGAAUCAUUAAAACGUAAUGUGUCACAAUAUUGUAAGUUACUACUCAAAUUAGAAAAUGACGAAGGGAUUGAUGAGAGCGAAUUAGGUAAUGCUGUAGAAGUCUUAAGUAAUGUAAAAAAAAUGCUGGGUUCACAUAUAGAUGAGAGUUUUCACAUUUUGCAAACUAAAUUAAAAAAUAUAUACAACUGUUUAAAAGAUUCAUAUAAAUGGUCAAUGAAUAAAAAAGGUUUGACGUUACCUGGAACUGGUUCACAUGAAACUGGAUAUAAAUCACGUAUAGUUGAUGGGAAUAAAAAAUAUUUUGAUGAUGGUGAGAAGGAAAGGAAAAAUAAGAAUAAUAAAAAUGAUGACUCUAGUAAUGGUAAGGAUGAUAUAAUAGACAUAUUAGAAGUUACUAAAGAGGUUAAAGUUGGUUCCAGUUAUCAUGUAGAUAAUAUGUAUUGUAAUAACUUAUAUUGUAAUAGAUGGCAAGAUAAAACAAGUUGUAUGUCAAAAAUAGAAGUAGAAGAGCAAGGUAAUUGUUCACUUUGUUGGAUCUUUGCAUCUAAAUUACAUUUAGAAACUCUGAGAUGUAUGAGAGGAUAUGGUCAUUAUCGAAGUUCUGCUUUAUAUGUAGCUAACUGUUCACUUAGACAUCCUGAUGAAUUGUGUAUAGUAGGUUCGAAUCCGGUUGAAUUCUUACAAAUAUUAGAUACCGAAAAAUUUUUACCAUUAGAAAAAGAUCAUCCUUAUGAUAUUGAUAAUGUCACUCAGUCAUGUCCAGCGCCAAAAACGAAUUGGCUCAACUUAUGGGGGAGCACUGAAUUACUACAAGAUAUAACAAAUAACGUAUAUUACCAACCUAGAGGGUAUGUAGCUUACGAAUCAAUAGACUAUAGAUAUAAUAUGAGAGAAUUUGUUAAAAUAGUAAAAAGAGAAAUAAGAAAUAAAGGUUCGGUUAUGGCAUAUAUAAAAACAGAAAAUGUUAUAGAUUUUGAUUUUAAUGGUAGCAUUAUACAUAAUUUAUGUGGUGAGGAAAUCCCUGACCAUGCAGUUGCUAUAAUUGGAUAUGGUGAUUAUAUUAAUAUAGAUGGAGAUAAAAGAACAUACUGGAUAAUUAGAAACAGUUGGGGUAUAUAUUGGGGAGAUAAUGGUAAUUUUAGAGUGGAUGUAUAUGGUCCUGGUUAUUGUUUAUAUAACUUUAUACAUACAGUUGCUGUAUUUAAACUUCAACUAGGUAUGAUAGAUAUACAUAGAGAAGUGCCCAUUGUUAAUGAAGAAUAUUUCACUACAUACCAUCCGAACUUCUUUCACACUCUUUAUUAUAACAACUACGUUGAAGAAGAUGUUACAGAAUCCGAGGAUGAUUGUCAGAAAAAGAAAGAGAAAGAGAAAAAAAAAGAGGCAUUAAAAUAUUACGAAACUAAUAACAAUUACAAUGUUUAUUUCGAUGAGUUUGAUAAUAGUGAGGAUACAGAUGAUUUAAAUGAGAUAGAAAAUAAUAUUGUUACAGAUGACAUGCAUGACAGUGUGUUUAUUAAAAAAGAUGAAAAAGAAACAAAUAAAGCUGACGUAGAAAAAAAAAUACAAAUUUUACAUAUUUUGAAACAUAUUGUUGAUUCGGACGUUAGUACAAAUGUUGUAAAAUAUAGCCUAGACGACACUAAAAAGGAAUAUGUUUGUCUGAGAGUUCACCCUGUUAAUCCAGAAAAAUAUCAAGAAUGUUAUGAUUUUUGUGAGGAGAACUGGAAUAGUUGUGCAAAACAUUAUUCACCAGGUUAUUGUUUGACCAAAUUAUAUGGUAGUAAUAAUUGUCAGUUCUGUUAUGUGUGAGCCGUUGUGUUCGCAUAAGGACAUUAAAUUUUAAAAUAUGUAUAUGUACAUGUGUGAAACUUGCA